rnacentral:rRNA from 1 species
CGGGUGCUUGAAGAUGGGUGUGCGUUCCAUUAGCUAGUUGGUAAGGUAACGGCUUACCAAGGCGACGAUGGAUAGGGGGCGUGAGAGCGUGAUCCCCCCACACGGGUACUGAGACACGGACCCG